GAUGAACGCUGGCGGCGUGCUUAACUCAUGCAAGUCGAACGGUGAAGGCGGAGCUUGCUCUGCUGGAUCAGUGGCGAACGGGUGAGUAACACGUGAGCAAUCUGCCCCUGACUCUGGGAUAAGCGCUGGAAACGGCGUCUAAUACUGGAUACGAGCUGCGAAGGCAUCUUCAGCAGCUGGAAAGAAUUUCGGUCAGGGAUGAGCUCGCGGCCUAUCAGCUUGUUGGUGAGGUAAUGGCUCACCAAGGCGUCGACGGGUAGCCGGCCUGAGAGGGUGACCGGCCACACUGGGACUGAGACACGGCCCAGACUCCUACGGGAGGCAGCAGUGGGGAAUAUUGCACAAUGGGCGAAAGCCCGAUGCAGCAACGCCGCGUGAGGGACGACGGCCUUCGGGUUGUAAACCUCUUUUAGCAGGGAAGAAGCGAAAGUGACGGUACCUGCAGAAAAAGCGCCGGCUAACUACGUG
rnacentral:rRNA from 1 species